rnacentral:lncRNA from 1 species
UUGAAGCUCUGGAGAGAUCCGCAGAGAUAUCUGUUACUUUGAAAAAUAGAAGAGAGGCUGUACUUUUUGAAUUUUAAAGAAAUGGAAGCCCAUAAGGAUGACAACAACCUAACUCUCUCCCAAAGCUCAAGCUCAUUAACGCACACUUGCAUCGAUGGAUUCACAAUCUGAUGAUUUCAAGGGGGCCCUUAUAAGUCAUCAAUUUCAUUAAUUCAAGCACCAAAUUCAGAUGAGGUGUUCUUCAAAGGUUGAUGAUGCCAUGAGCAGGAAGUGACAUCUCUUCUUCGUGUAUUCUUUGCCUCAUCAAGUAGGAGGAGUUGGGAAAGUGGAAAUCCCCGUGAGGCUGUAGAUUUCUGGGGUUUGACCAAAAACCCAGUUUUUUACUCAGGAUUUCAUGGGUGGAAAACAGAGGGGAAGAAAGGAUUUCGAAGGAUUUAGUAAAUAGGACAGUGAUUUAGUAAAUAGUAAACAGAGCGGUUGAUAUUGAGAACUGAGAAGGUAUGGUCACAAGAGUUCAGAAGAGUUCGCAAAAUAUAACACCUCUUGCAGACAUAUUGUUGACCUAUCCACUGGAGUAGAAGAAAUUCUACUAGUCGAAGUGAUUUGAGUCUUCAACAAAAGAGAUUCUCAAUGCAAGCUAGAUCAAGAGACUUUCGAUCGAACCGGAUUUAAGCCAUCAAACAACCAAAGAAGUUUGUGCAGUAAUGAUGGCAAAUGUCCAGAAAACCUUAUUAAGAGCAGCGAUUCCACUUUAUACCAUGCAAUCUUCUGCAUAACUAUUGGUUAUUUUCAUCAGUGUGUGAUAGCUUUCAACGGCUAACGCAUAUAUGUAUCUAGCUCAUCCAAUCUAGCUGACAAUUGUUCAU